rnacentral:rRNA from 2 species
UGGGGAAUAUUGCACAAUGGGGGAAACCCUGAUGCAGCGACGCCGCGUGAGCGAAGAAGGUUUUCGAAUCGUAAAGCUCUUUCCUAUGGGAAGAUAAUGACGGUACCAUAGGAGGAAGCCCCGGCUAACUACGUGCCAGCAGCCGCGGUAAUACGUAGGGGGCAAGCGUUGUCCGGAAUCACUGGGCGUAAAGGGUUCGCAGGCGGAAAUGCAAGUCAGUUGUGAAAGGCAGAGGCUCAACCUCUGUAAGCAAUUGAAACUGUAUUUCUUGAGAUGUGGAGAGGCAAGUGGAAUUCCUAGUGUAGCGGUGAAAUGCGUAGAUAUUAGGAAGAAUACCGGUGGCGAAGGCGACUUGCUGGACACAAACUGACGCUGAGGAACGAAAGCGUGGGUAGCAAACAGG